GACGGAGGAUGCAAGCGUUAUCCGGAAUGAUUGGGCGUAAAGCGUCCGCAGGUGGCAGUUCAAGUCUGCUGUCAAAGACCGGGGCUUAACUUCGGAAAGGCAGUGGAAACUGAACAGCUAGAGUAUGGUAGGGGCAGAGGGAAUUCCUGGUGUAGCGGUGAAAUGCGUAGAGAUCAGGAGGAACACCGGUGGCGAAGGCGGGUCUCUGGGCUGACACUGACGCUCAUGCACGAAAGCGUGGGGAGCAAACAGG
rnacentral:rRNA from 1 species